rnacentral:rRNA from 1 species
UACGUAGGGUGCAAGCGUUAAUCGGAAUUACUGGGCGUAAAGCGUGCGCAGGCGGUCUUGCAAGACAGAUGUGAAAUCCCCGGGCUCAACCUGGGAACUGCAUUUGUGACUGCAAGGCUGGAGUGCGGCAGAGGGGGAUGGAAUUCCGCGUGUAGCAGUGAAAUGCGUAGGUAUGCGGAGGAACACCGAUGGCGAAGGCAAUCCCCUGGGCCUGCACUGACGCUCAUGCACGAAAGCGUGGGGAGCAAACAGG